UUGAACGCUGGCGGCAUGCUUUACCCCUGCCAGUCGCACGGCAGCGCGGGGCACCCUGGCGGCGAGUGGCGAACGGGUGAGUAAUAUAUCGGAACGUACCCAGAAGUGGGGGAUAACGUAGCGAAAGUUACGCUAAUACCGCAUACGAUCUACGGAUGAAAGUAGGGGACCGCAAGGCCUUAUGCUUUUGGAGCGGCCGAUAUCUGAUUAGCUAGUUGGUGAGGUAAAGGCUCACCAAGGCGACGAUCAGUAGCUGGUCUGAGAGGACGACCAGCCACACUGGAACUGAGACACGGUCCAGACUCCUACGGGAGGCAGCAGUGGGGAAUUUUGGACAAUGGGCGCAAGCCUGAUCCAGCAAUGCCGCGUGAGUGAAGAAGGCCUUCGGGUUGUAAAGCUCUUUUGUCAGGGAAGAAACGGUAGAGGCUAAUAUCCUGUGCUAAUGACGGUACCUGAAGAAUAAGCACCGGCUAACUACGUG
rnacentral:rRNA from 1 species